CUCCACAGUCCCCACCAUCCCCUAUUCUGUUCCUCAGCUGGACUCACUAGUUGACAUAUCUGACCAUCCUCUGUAGAUACUUGAGUCUAAGGCCUCCAGGGAAGACGCACCAUGCACGUGGGUUUAAUGAAGACAUGCUUGAGCGCCACCCCCACCUCCCCAUCUCUUCCUUCCAGGGCUUUGUUGCUGCGUCGUCCUCCGCGUGCCCUUCUCCUUGAGCAUCCUCUGCUGUUCAGGAGCGUUUCCAAAGGCAGAACAUGACCGGUCUUUCAGCAGUACCUGUCUUCAUCCUCCGGGGCUCCUCGGAGGUCCCUGAGGUGCAACUGCUCAGUGCUGCUGUCUUCCUUCUGGUUUACCUGGCUGCGAUUCUGGGGAACAUCUCCAUUGUGGCUGCCAUGAGCCUGGAUCCCCGUCUGCACACGCCCAGGUCAGUGCUUGAAGGUGGUCCUGGGUGUCUCUUCACCACAAAGUCUUCCUGAGACCAGAUUUCUCCACCAUCCCCCAUGGUCUCCUUAUCCACGUGGUAGGAGGUGGUCACUGGCACCUCAUUCACGCUCCAGCUGCCAGAAGGAGGACGGAGGAAGCAGAGGGCAAGCAACGUGCUCUGAAGGCGUGACCCGGAAGUCGGGAGCCCACUGGCUAGCGCUUAGUCACGUGGCCACACUGACCUGCAAGCUGACUUUGGGAUGCUUCAGAAGGCCCCUGAGACAUCUCAGAGAAAAAUAUUAAAGUACCUAGGACCGGCUGGUAUGUUGAAUUACAUGGGGAGCACUGUCAACCGCGUGCUGGUGUAAGUGAUGAAGUGUAUGGGCUGUAAAGUGUUUCCCUGUUAACAUACCUCUGAGCCUGUUCACCGCAUCUGAUCAGUUCCCCCAACGUGACUGACUAGGCAAAUAUAAAGGAGGCCUAGCACCGAGGGACAUGCUCUAAGCCUGGGACCGAAGCCACCACGUCAGCAUCCAGGGACAGGUAAUUCGAUCAUCAGUGCUUUCUACUGAAAGAUCUGUAAUCCAAGGGGGAAACAUGGAAAAACCUGCACAUACUGAGCCCCUUCACCCCACCCCCAUGGCCAUCGUCCUCCGGCUUAGACCAUCACACAGCCUCCUCGCCCGGUCUCCUUGCCUUUACUGCCACCCUCCCCAGCCCACCUCCACCCAGCAGCCACGGAGCCUCUGAGCUGCAGCCCUCCGGGGUCCUUUCAUGCCUUGGGCUCUCUGUGCUCAGAACCCUUCUCUAGCCUCCUCUUCUGCAUCUUGUAUAUCGAGCUGUGCUGUGCUGGCUUCACCCCAGUUUUUCAAACACACCAGUCUUUCCCGUCUCAGGGCCUUUGCACUGGCUUUCCUCAGCCUAGAAUUCCUUCCUCAAAUCGGAGUGUAACUGUGUGUUCGUAUUUGACCUCACUCACAAUGCCAUCUGUUUGGAGAGCCCGUUCCUGGCCACUCCUCUAAGUAGCAUCACCUCUUCUCCACUCUCUCACCCCUCUAUUUUACUGCCUCCGGAUCACUUACAAUUUUUGGAAAUUGUAUCACUUUGCAGGUCUGAGACAAGGACUUGGGGACUAGCAAUAGUUUAUUCUGGGGAGGGUGGAGUCUGGGAUCCAGGAAGCAGUGCAUCGGUGCACCUGGCUCUCAACUACAACUCCCAGAGUGCCCAGGCACCUCGAGCGCAUGUCUGCUUCCAGCUCAGGCUGGAGAUCUUCGCGUCCUUGUGUGGAAGCCAGGCGGCUUUGCAGGUGAGUGAGAGUGAACGGGUGUGUCUGCGUGCAUGAGCAGUGUGCGUGGCGGGUGAGCACGUCUGUGUUGGGGAGUGGGGUGUAUCAGUGUGCGUGAGCAGCAAAAUGUGACUGAGCCAGCAUGUGCACUGGUGUGUGCAGGUGACUGUGUGUACGGGCGUGUGUGAGGGCACCUGAUGCGUUUGAAGAUGUGUUUGUUCUAGUGAGGUAUGCGUUUAGGUGAACCAGUAUGCGUGUGUGAGCCCUCGAGCUUGUGAGUGUGCAUGUGGGCCAUUUGUGGGGUUGCACUAGUGGGAGCUGUGUGUCUUAUUCCUGUUGCCAAGUCUGUAUUUCUCUGCAGGUGUCUGCAGCUAAGUGUGCCAUUGUCCCCGUUGCCCUAAGCUUUAAGGGUGCCUGUGAGAUUUUACUUGUGAUUAAAGUGUGUGUGUAUGCAUAAUGCUCAUGGCUGCAGGUUUGAGGGAGUGGUAUGACGUAAGGGCUUAGAUGUUACUCUGUGUGUGUGCUGACGGGGACCUGCGUGCCACCUGACCCUGGGUGUGUGUACAGUUGUUGACAGGGCCUGGCCACGUGCGCGUGAGUCUGUAUCGGCGCGUGUGUCUGGUGAGGCUCUGGGUGUCGUUUGGUCGAGGGUUUUGUCAGUGCUGGUGUGUGGGUGGUGUGAUUGCACUGGUCCCGAGGGCAUGGGGGUGCAUGUCUGAGGCCAGGGACCAGUAUAAACGGGAGGCUGUGGUGCCAGGAGUGGGGUACUGUUCUCUUUUCUUCACUGCUAUACCUCUAGCACCUAGAAUUGUGCCAGGUACCCAGUAGGUGCUUAAUAAAUGCUUGCAGCAUGAACAAAUGGGAUCCUGUUCCCCCCUGCUCUUCCUAGUGGUGUGUUUCAGCUCUCUGCUGGGCUUUGAGUGCUGACUGGUGAGAGACAGUCCCUCCUGCACAAGCUGUCACGAGUGAGCGCGUCAGUGCACGCAGAGGGCUUAGAGCCGGCUCUUCCUGCGUGGACUGUGGUCUGCGUGUGUGCGUGUCAUCUCUCCGGUGCCUCAAGGUCCUUUGUGGGUGCCAAUGUCUGAUUUCCUGUCUCUGGGUCUGGUCUUGUUUGUGUCUGUGGACUCACAGCUCUGGGGUCAGCAGUCUGGGUCCCGACACCAGCCCCAGCCCUUUCUAGCUUUACGGCCUUAGGCACAUUGUGUCUCUGGGCCAGUUUCCCUCUCUGUGAAAUAGGACAAAGAGUUCUUACCUCAUGGCGUACUUACAAGGUCAGAUAAGGCAGCCGUGACCACAGCCCCAGGUCAGUGAGGACAGGAUGGCCAUGGAGGGAACGGGCUGGAGGUCAGAGGUGAAAGCCAGCAGAGCUCCAGGUCUGCCGAAGCAAGGAAGGUCAGCGGUGGGCAGGCUGAAAAGCAGAAGAGGCCAAGCCCCAGUUACCAGGGGGCCAGGCUCUGGAUGUGGUGACACCAUGGCAGAGAGGCUGGUCGUGUGCCCGGGACACAGGACCCGGAGACUUCCUGAUGGCCUCCUGUUGGUCCUUGAACUGGCGGGAGGGUUCUCUGCUGGGAAGGCUCCUGACUCUCCCUGUGAAGCCGCAUUUGCUAAGCCCUCGUGGGUGAUUUUUGGGGUGUCAGUAUACAGUUGCAGUCCUGGGAGCCGUAUGUCAGUGUGACUUAUGAAAGAGUGCGAGUUGGGAGAGUGACUUGCAUGAAAUUGUGUAAUUUUGUAGUUUGCUUCCUGAUUAUGUGUCUGUGACUGAAGGCCAGUUUGCGGUGAGAGUGUACUUUAUUUUGUGGGAGUGUGUGUGACAAGUAGCGAUGAGUGAUCUGGCGUGUCUCUGUGCGAUGGAGUGUGAGUUAUGUCUGUGACUUUGUGUUUGUGGGGGUUACCUGGUGGGUGGCUGUUGUGACUGUCAUGUAAGGCUGGGCGUCUGUGUGGGAGGAGCUCGCUAGUACUGCCUGAGGAAGGGCGUGGGGGGGGGUGUGGUGGCAGGGGUGGGGUCCGAUUAUGACACAUGUGUCCAAACCAAGUGGUCACACUGGUGAGUCUGUGGCUAAGGUGUCACUGUUCCCCUGGUGAGGCACCCUGUGAAGGAUGGUGUGUGGGGCCUGUUUUUUCUCUGAGGCCACACUGGGUUACUGAACGCUCGUUCUGUGCCAAGGUGCGGCUGGGGUGGGUGAGGGAGGGGUGCCCCCCCCCGCCCACGUGACAGAGCUGACUGCCCUCGUGUCUGUGCUCUGCACCCCGGUUUCUGCCACAGCCUGUGGUCAGGCGCACUGUACCAGCACUCUCCGUAUUACACACAGUGCGCUCUCAUACUCUUUCAAAUCCAUUCUAUUUCAAAACUUCUUGUCACAACCCACUAAAGCAGAGGUCUCACCUGGGGGCGACACGAGGCAUCAUCUGAAGCCAUUUCUGGCUGUCACAGUCAGGAGGGUGCUGCUGACACCUGGCAGAGAGAGGCCAGGGAUCCUGCUCAACGGCCCACCAUGUCCAGGUCAGUCCCCACAACACACACUUACCUGGCUCAGAAGUCAGCAGGACCAAAGCUGAGAAAUUCAGCUGACUCUAAAUUAGUUUUGUUUGAUGAGUCAUUGAUGAACCACAACUGCCUAAAAUUAGAUGUCCAUGUGAUCUGACCCCCGACCCAGACCCAGUGAGGUGGUGAGGGCUCCCUCAGCCCAUCCUGGGCCUAAGUAUCCUGAUCAGUCUAAGUGCUCAUCCUCCUGGAUGAGCUGGAUUCAGCCUUGACACGUUCCUUCCCUCUGUGGGUCACCCCGCUUCCCUGGAUUUGAGAGUCUGUGCAUACCUCUCCCUCUCCCAGCCUGGCCCCGAUGUCCACCUUCACUGGAGAGUCUGUGUAUCAGCCAUGCUCUCUAGAGAAACAGAACAUCAGUGAGAUUUAAGAAGUGGCUCCUGCAUCUGUGGGUUUGGCAAGUCCAAAAUUUGCAAGGCUGCAAACCAAGGUGGGUGUUGAUGCUGCCGUCCUAAGGCGGACUCUUCUCUGGGAAACCUCUUUUAGUUUGUAAGGUCCUUCAACGGUUGAGUGAGGCCCACCCACGUCAUCGAGGAUGACCACCUUUACUUAGAGUCAGCGGGCUGUAAAUGCUCCCCCCCAUCUAUAGAGUGUACCUCCACAGCAGGACCCAGACCAGUACCUGACGGCCUGGCCAGGCUGACGUGUAAGACCAGCCAUCACAACCGGUAAUACAGCAGCCACGUCUUACUCUCAGUGUCUCGUCUCGCAUCUUAUGGGAACCUGUAUUUUUGAAAACUUACUUUCAGGCUGGGAUGCCGGAGCUGACAACAGGACAUCUUCCAAGCACAACGUCUCUGAAAGCUAGGCCCCAAAAGGCUCUUGAGACAUGGAAUUCAUAAAGGCCGGCAGCGCGGACAGCCUCCCCAAGAGCGCGGUCCCGGCGUGAGCUGUGCGCAGCGGCAGAGGGGAGGCUUGGGCCAUCCCAAGUGUGGGAGAGCCUUCAGCUCCGGCUCCUUCCUCGCUCAGCACCGGCGAAUCCACUCGGGAGGGACCCUAUGAAUGAAGUGAGUGUGCGAGGACCAUCAGCCAGAGGGCAAACCUUACUCAGCACCAGAGAGAAACCAGAGUGCGAGGACUGUGCCAGAGCUUUUGGGCAGGGCCCCUCCCUCCGGGAGCACCAAGACGCCCACAGAGGCCACGUCCCCGCAGUGAAUGGGACCCUUCAGCAAAUGCUCAGCCCGCCUCUCCCAUCAGAACAUCCACAUUGGCGAGCAGCCCUGUCAGUGUACCGAGUGUGGGAAGGCCGCCCGCAGCCAGUCUUCAGUCAGCACCAGAGCACGCGCACUGGGGAGACCCUGUGAAGGCAGUGAGUGCACGAGGGCCUUCCGCUGGGCCUCCCCCCUUCCUCUCCACCAGAGAACUCAUACAGGCGAGAACGCCUACAAGUGCCCCAACUAUAGGAAGCCCUUCCCGUACAGGUCCUCCCUCACCGAGCACCAGAAAACCCACCCAGGAGAGAAAUGCUGCAAGUGCAGAGACGGCGAAACGUCUUCAGCUACAGCUCCUCUUGGCCUCGGGAGGAUCCCUGUACACGUAAGGCGUGGGGGGCCACCUUCAGGCACUGCUCUUUGCUGCCCAGGCACCAGAGGACCCACUGCAUCAAGACACCUGUGAAUGUUAGACUGUCUGAAAGCCUUGAGUCGUGCGUGGUUCGUAUAAAAUGUACAUCAGAGGCACCACACCAGGGGGACGUCCUACAGAUACAGUGAUUUGGUGGCAACUUCCAACACUUCUUACUGAAACACGUGUGUAUGGAACCUUCAGAUUUCAUUCAGCCCUCCAGAUGCCUAAGACAUCACACUGUACAUUACUCAUGGGGAUAUGGGUUGGGGGUCCGCAAACCACCCCUAGGUUCAGUGACCCACUGGAAGGACUCUGAGAACGCGGCAUAGUCACACCCACGGCUAAGACUUACCACGGUGAAAGGAUUCACUACGCAACCAGCAAUGGGAGAAGGUGCACGAUGGAGUCUGGAGGAGACGAGGUGUGAGCUUCCAGAGUCCUCUCCCCAGGAAGUUGCUCCGGACAUGCUCAGUUCCUCCAGCGAGAUGUGGCAGCACUUUCCUGCCUCCUCCUCCAACCUGUGGAGCUCUUUCCUGACCUCAGGGCCUUUGCUUGUGCUGCACCUUCUGUCCAGAACAGCUCCUCCCCGUGUUCCAGGGCUGACUUCUCACCCUGUGGUUUUGACUCAAAGGCUACCUCCUCAGAGAGCCCUGUUUGGACUCCCCAGUCUAAGCUCAGCCCUCCCAGGAUCACUGCCUGUACCCCACACCUGGUUUUCUUUCCCUCUGUAGUAUGUACCACCUUGUUUUGUCUUUUUAUUACACACUGAAGUUUGAGAAGUACUAGUUUCAGGAAAGAGUUGAUUCAGAUGGAGGCCUUCAGGUCAAGCAUACCUCUCCAGCUCAGCCUCAGGCCCCACUCACCUUUGCACAAAGGGCCUGGUCCCUGCAGGCACUCCCAGUUUUCAACCCUUGCCUUAAGCUAGUGUUUCUGAAACUUAAGCCCUCUGGGGGCUGUGCUGAAAGCUAGUUAAAACCCACAGUGAUCAGGAGGUCUGAGAGCGCCUUUCUAGCACUUUCCCUUGUGUAUGAGUUUCUUAUGACUGCUCUAACAAAUUACCACAAACUGGGAGCCUUAAAACAACAGAAAUUUCUCUCACCAUUUGAGGCCAGAAAUCUGAAAUCAAGGCGUCAGCAGGGGUGCACUCCGGCUGCAGGCUUUAGGGGAGGAAGGCUCCUUCCUGGCCUCUUCAGCUCCUGGCGGCUCCUGGCGUUGCUUGCCUGGUGGACGAGUCAUCCAGUCUUCAAAUCCUGUGUGUCAGACUGCCCUCUGCCUCCCUCUUGGAAGGACACAUCUUUUGGCAUUUAGGGCCCAUCCAGACAGACCAGGAUAACCUCUCUACCUUGAGAUCCUUAGUCACGUCUGAAAAGACCCUUUUCCAAAUUAGGUAACAUCUAGUUUCCAGCGGUAGGACCUGAACUCUUUGGGGGCCACCCUUAGCCUACUACACCAUGUAAUGGGGAACUGCUCUGGUCACAGUGAAUCACACGGGCCUCAAACCUCCAGGCCGGGUCACAGUGUGGCCUGGGAGUCACAAGGGCCGGGCCUGGACUCAGUCCUGACACCACCGAUUUCUAGUUGCAUGCUCUUGAGCAAACUGCUGCAUCUCCCAACCUGUUUCCUCUCAAUCCCCACCUAGUUGGAGCGUGGGGAUUAGACACCAUGUAAGCACCCAGCAUAGGAUCUGACCCAUAGUAAUUCUGAUGCCUCCAAGUGGGCAUACAAAACUGAGCAUUCCAGUUUCUACUGAAAAAUCUAAGGCUCUGGUAACAGUAGGUCCUUCGGUUAGAAUUAUUUCCCCUCUUCACUACAUUCUGCAUCCCACCUACCUGGCUCCCUCAGGUGGAUGGGUUUGCAUCCUACAGACACGUUCUUUGCAGCUCAGGCCUUUUCUUCUCUAUUCCAAACCGGUCUUUCUACCUGAAAGGCUAAAGCAGGUCAGAUGCCAUGGCAGAGGGUCCCACCUGGAGGAGACCUGCUGCUCAGGUGGCCUAGACCAAGAGUGGGAGGAGAUUCAGUGCUGAGGCCCAGGGUGGGGGCAUGGCUGACCCCUGUGAGGUAUAUUCACAAGCAUGUGUGGGUGUGGGUGUGGGUGUGGAUACAUAUACUCACCACACUGCUGUGCGUCUCUGCAUUUUCCUUCAGGGCAUCCGUGGCCCCCAACUACUUUUGGAAGCCUGGGGUCUGGUUGGCUUAAAUGCAUGCAGGGGGGCAACGGUGAAGUAACCCCAUUUCCUGGGGUGCUGGGUUUUUGAGAACUAUAACCAAAAACACCCCUACACAAAGAAACCUACAACUGCAACAGUAUGUCAGAAUAACUAAGGAAAACUGAUGAGAAGAAAACCACAAAACCUUACCAGCUGAUAAAAAUGCUUGAAUAUAUAAAAGGAAAAUAUAUUCCUAGAUGCUAAGAUUAAAUUUAACAAUGUUAAUUCUCCCUAAGUUCACGUCAAUAAUUAUUAAAAGGCUGUUUUUAAUUGGUAAACAAAUUUUCAUCUAGAAGAAUAACAAUUAUUUCAUAUACUUUUUAAAGGCACAAUGAAUUCUGGUUUUUGAAGUGAAAAAAGUGAAUAAAGGGCUGCAAAUGGCAAAAUAUCCUUUUUUAUAGGUGAGUUGUAUUCCAUUACAUAUAUAUAUAUAUAUAUAUAUAUAUAUAUAUAUACACACACACUACAUCUUCAUCAUCUAUUCAACUGUUGAUGUGCACUUAGGAUGCUUCCAUAUCUUGGCAACUAUAAGUAAUUUUGCUGUUACAUACACCCUGCUAUUAUCUUUAUGAGUUAAUUCUUAUUUUGUGGUUGGCUUUAUUCCUUUGAUAACUAUGUAAGUUUAAAAAGCUAAAGCGUUAAACGUUCUUAGAAACAAUCAACAAGUACAUAUAUGUAAAUUAAAAAGUAUAUGUACGGUAAAAAAAAAAAUUAUCUAUCAAGCCAUGAAAGAUAUGGAAGAAACUUAAAAGGCUACAAACUGUACAAUUCCAACCAAAUGACAUUCUGGAAAAGGCACAGCUAGAGAAACAAAAAGAUCAUGGUUUCCAGGGGCCUGGGAAGAGGCAGGGAGGGAGGAAUGAAUAGAUACGGAGCACAAGGGAUUUUUAGGGCAAUGAAAUUAUUCUGUAUGAUACUAUAGUGGUGGCUACAUGUCAUUAUGAAUUUGUUAGAACCCAUAGAAUGUACAAUAUCAAGGGUGAACCUUAAUGUAAACUACAGACUUUGGUUGAUAAUAAUGUGCCCAUGUUGGUAAAUCAAUUGUACCAAAAUAUGCCACACUAAUGAGGGAUGUUGAGGGUAGGAGAGUAUAUGUGUGGGUGGGGAGGGCUAUGUGUGAACUCUGUUAUUUUCUGCUCAGUUCUGUUGUGAACCCGAAACUGCUCUAAAAGAAUAGUCUGUUUAAAAAAAUACCACAAAUUCUCUAGGAAUCAAUUUAACAAAGCAUGCUCAAGGCAUUUAUAGAACUUUACAAUUCUACUAAGGGAUAUAAAAUAAAAUCUGAACAAACUAAAAGAUAAAAAAAGGCAAAAUAAUGGAAAACUCAUAAUGCUAUAAAAAUUUUAAAAUAUAGAUCUAGGAUAAAAUAGGGCAACAAGACAGUGAAAGUGAAUGAUCCAGAUACAGAGCCUAUUAUAAAAUAAUAUAUUAUGACUGUAUGUAUCACUUAUUAAAGUUAAUGUUGGAGAUCUAACAAUGGGAAAUAAUUUUUAUCCUAUUCUGUAAGACAUCAAAGUAACUACAAGAUUAGUAAAAACGAUAAAACACUAAUGAAGGAAAUUACAGAUGAUUUCACAAAAUGGAGAAAGAUAGCCCAUGUUCUUGGAUUAGAAGAAUUACAUGUUAAAAUGGCCACACUACCCAAAACAAUCUACAGAUUCAAUGCGAUCCCUAUCAAAUUACCCAGGACAUUUUUCACGGAACUAGAACAAAUGUCCUAAAAUUUAUAUGGAAUCGCAAAAGACCCAGAAUUGCCAAAGCAAUACUGAAGAAAAAGAACGAAGCUGGAGGAAUACCCCUCCCAGACUUCAGACAAUACUACAGAGCUACAGUCAUCAAAACAGUGUGAUAUUGGCACAAAACAGACAUAUGGAAAAAUGGAGCAGAUUAGAGAGCCCAGAAAUAAACUCACACACCUACAGUCAAUUAAUCUUUGACAAAGGAGGUAAGAAUGUACCAUGGAGGAAAGACAGUCUCUUUGGCACAUGGUGUUGGAAAAGCUGGACAGCAGCAUGUAAAUCAAUGAAGUUAGAACACUCCCUCACACCAUACACAAAAAUAAACUCAAAAUGGCUUAAAUAUUUAAACAAGACAAGACACCAUAAAUCUAGUUAAGAACAUAGGCAAAACAUUCUCUGAUAGAAAUUGUAGCAGUGUCCUCCUAGGUCAGUCUACCAAGGCAAUAGAAAUAAAAGCAAAAAUAAACAAAUGAGACCUAAUUAAACAUAUAAGCUUUUGCAAAGAAAAGGAAACCAUAAGCAAAAUGAAUAGACAACCUAUGGACUGGGAGAAAAUGUUUGCAAAUGAUGCAACUGACAGGGGCUUAAUUUCCAGAAUACACAAACAGCUCAUACAACUCAGUAACAAAAAUACAAACAACCUAAUCAAAAAAAUAGGCAGAAGAUCUAAGCAGACAUUUCUCCAAUGAAGACAUACAGAUGGCCAACAGGCACAUGAAAAGAUGCUCAAUAUUGCUAAUUAUCAGAGAAAUGCAAAUCAAACUAUAAUGAAGGAUCACCUCACACCAGUCAGAAUGGCCAUCACUCAAGUCCACGAAUGAUAAAUGCUGGAGAGGGUGUGCAGAAAAGUGAGCCCUCCUACACUGUUGAUGGGAAUGUAGCUUGGUGCAGCCGUUAUGGAAAACAGUAUGGAAAUUUCUUUAAAAAGUAAAAAUAGACUUACCGUAUGAUCCAGCAAUCCCACUCCUGGACAUAUAUCCGGAGAAAAAUAUAAUUCAAAAAGACACCUGCACCCCAAUGUUCAUAGCAACACUAUUCACAAAUAGCCAAGACAUGGAGACAGCCUAAAUGCCCACUGACAGAGGACUGGAUAAAGAAGCUGCGGUGUAUUUAUACAAUGGAGUACUGCUCAACAUAAAAAAGAAUAAAAUGCCAUCUGCAGCAACAUGGAUGGACCUGGGGAUCAUCAUUCUAAGUGAAGCCAGAAAGAGAAAGGCAAAUACCAUAUAUCACUCGUAUGUGGAAUCUUAAAAAAAAAAGAAAAAAGAAAAAAGGACACUAUGAACUCACCUACAAAACAGAAACAGACCUGCAGACAUAGUAAACAAUCUUAUGGUUACUGGGGAAAGGGUGUAGGAAGGGAUAAAUCUGGGAAUUUGAUAUUUACAAAUGUUAACCUCUAUAUAUAAAAAUAGAUUUUAGAAAAAGUUUCUGCUGUAUAGCACAGGGAACUAUGUUCAAUACCUUGUAAUAACCUUUAAUAAAAAAUAUGAAAA